GGUAUCCAUGUUGGAAUCUCUCAUUUGAUUCUUAUUCAAAUUUAGGUUCUGUCAAUAGAAGAUACUAAAGAAAGAAAGCCAGGAGAAGAAAAGGGACUUCUUUCUUCAAGGUCUAAGCUGUUCUAAUAGCAUUAUUCUGGGAAUGGCAUCUUCCACUCCUCCUAGUACAAAGAACCUGCUUCCUCAUACCCCGUCAAGGAACUGCAGCAUCCAGAAUACAUUCAUACCUAACACCUCAAUAGAUGACAUGUUAUCCAUGGAAUCGAGUUCAAAGCCCUCUGUAACGUGGCUAUAUCCCAUCUACUCUGAGCUGAUGUUCAGCAGGUGAUGGCCACAGUGGCAGAACCUAGGAAGCCAAGAAGAAACCAGAGAAUGGAGACACAUGGCAGCAAUGGCAAGUCAUCAGACCCAGGAUUUCCCAAAGAACACUGGUCCAGGAAGAUGCUCUGUGAAAAAGUGUUCCCUGGUCGGAGAAAUUUGUGAAACACUUUGCAUAAUACUUAAAAGAAUGUAUGGCACAUCAAAGGUAAUAUGCAAUAAAAGAAUUCAUUUUUUUAAAACCAAGCAUA
rnacentral:lncRNA from 1 species